rnacentral:rRNA from 2 species
AGACCCGAAACCCGGUGAUCUAGCCAUGGGCAGGUUGAAGGUUGGGUAACACUAACUGGAGGACCGAACCGACUAAUGUUGAAAAAUUAGCGGAUGACCUGUGGCUGGGGGUGAAAGGCCAAUCAAACCGGGAGAUAGCUGGUUCUCCCCGAAAGCUAUUUAGGUAGCGCCUCGUGAAUUCAUCUCCGGGGGUAGAGCACUGUUUCGGCUAGGGGGCCAUCCCGGCUUACCAACCCGAUGCAAACUGCGAAUACCGGAGAAUGUUAUCACGGGAGACACACGGCGGGUGCUAACGUCCGUCGUGAAGAGGGAAACAACCCAGACCGCCAGCUAAGGUCCCAAAGUCAUGGUUAAGUGGGAAACGAUGUGGGAAGGCCCAGACAGCCAGGAUGUUGGCUUAGAAGCAGCCAUCAUUUAAAGAAAGCGUAAUAGCUCACUGGUCGAGUCGGCCUGCGCGGAAGAUGUAACGGGGCUAAACCAUGCACCGAAGCUGCGGCAGCGACACUGUGUGUUGUUGGGUAGGGGAGCGUUCUGUAAGCCUGUGAAGGUGUGUCG